rnacentral:rRNA from 1 species
CCUACGGGAGGCAGCAGUGGGGGAUAUUGCACAAUGGGGGGAACUCUGAUGCAGCGACGCCGCGUGGGUGAAGGAGCGUUUCGGCGCGUAAAGCCCUAUCGGCAGGGAAGAAGGUGGACGUUACCUGACUAAGAAGCCCCGGCUAAAGACGUGCCAGCAGCCGCGGUAAUACGUAGGGGGCAAGCGUUAGCCGGUUUUAUUGGGUGUAAAGGGGGCGCAGACGGCAGAGCAAGCUAGUAGUGAAAGCCCGGGGCCCAACCCCGGGACUGCUCUUGGAACUGAGCGGCUGGAGUGCAGGAGGGGCAGGCGGAAUUCCUGGUGUAGCGGUGAAAUGCGUAGAUAUCAGGAGGAACACCGGUGGCGAAGGCGGCCUGCUGGACUGCGACUGACGUUGAGGCCCGAAAGCGUGGGGAGCAAACAGGAUUAGAUACCCCAGUAGUC